rnacentral:rRNA from 1 species
GACGAACGCUGGCGGCGUGCUUAACACAUGCAAGUCGAACGGUGAAGCGCCUUCCUUUUUGGUGGGUGUGGAUGAGCGGCGAACUGACGAGUAACACGUGAGUAACCUGCCCCCUUCUUCUGGAUAACCGCAUGAAAGAGUGGCUAAUACGGGAUAUUCUGGGUCUGUCUCAUGAUGGGUUUGGGAUAGAUAUUGUUUCGGUGGGGGAUGGGCUCGCGGCUUAGCAGCUUGUUGGUGGGGUGAUGGCCUACCAAGGCGGUGACGUGUAGCCGGCGUGAGCGGGUGGACGGUCACAGUGGGACUGAGACACGGCGAAGACUCCUACGGGUGGCAGCAGUGGGGAAUCUGGAGCGAUGGGCGCAAGACUGAUGGAGCGAGGCCGCGUGAGGGAUGGAGGCCUUCGGGUUGUGAACCUCUUUCGCUAGUGAAGCAGGCCUGCCUAGUUUGUGGGUGGGUUGACGGUAGCUGGAUAAGAAGCGCCGGCUAACUACGUG